CCUGGUGGCUCAGGUGGUAAAGCAUCUGUCUACAAUGCAGGAGACCCAGGUUCGAUCCCUGGGUCAGGA
rnacentral:tRNA from 1 species